rnacentral:rRNA from 1 species
GCCAUGCCGCGUGUAUGAUGAAGGCCUUCGGGUUGUAAAGUGCUUUCAGUGGGGACGAAGGGACUCUUGUUAAUACCCUGGGUGCUUGACGUUACCGUCAGAAUAAGCACCGGCUAACUCCGUGCCAGCAGCCGCGGUAAUACGUAGGGUGCAAGCGUUAAUCGGAAUUACUGGGCGUAAAGCGUGCGCAGGCGGUUAGUUAAGACAGAUGUGAAAUCCCCGGGCUCAACCUGGGAACUGCAUUAGAGACUGGCUAGCUUGAGUGCGGUAGAGGGGGAUGGAAUUCCGCGUGUAGCAGUGAAAUGCGUAGAUAUGCGGAGGAACACCGAUGGCGAAGGCGAUCCCCUGGACCUGCACUGACGCUCAUGUGCGAAAGCGUGGGGAGCAAACAGGAUUAGAUACCCUGGUAGUCCACGCCCUAAACGAUGUCAACUGGUUGUUGGGAACUUUGAUUCUCG